GAAAGGAAAGCCAAUCGAAAAAGGAAAAAUGGAUGAAGCUAAUGUUCCAAACAGUCCUCCACAGCAAUUGACUUAAUCAUAACCCAAGUAAGCCACCCCGGUUCGUAUUGUGUUUUUGGGGUUGACAAUAUGGACUUUGUAUACAAGAACGUUAAUGCUUUCAUAACACUACUGAACUUGUUUUGGCGUGUAAACUCUUGCGAUGGCCGGAACAGAGCAUGUCAUAUCCAGGGAGGAGUCACUCUCCAGGAAGGUUAGUUUUGUCAGAGAAGAAGCUGGUGAAAACAUGCAGACAGGGGCAGAUCAUUGAAAUUGAAGAGGAAGCGAAUUCAACGUCCAAGAUGAGGAAAGAAAAUCUUGAGAAACUACAGGGAAGCAGGAGCCAAUAUUUCCCGAAAUUCAGCUGAGAAGACUAUGCCAAAAAUACAAAAGGUUUUGGCCUUGCUGUAUGGACACAAAAAUUUCAAAAAGUACUUUGAGCCAAUAGUGGUAUCACUCGGUCCUAUCCAUCAUGGGAAGAAGGAAUACCAGGCAGUAGAGGACUUCAAGCUUGGAAUGGCAAGCAAGUUCGUCGAGGAAAGUGGCAGGUCGGGUGAAUUUUUGCUCGGGAAAAUUGCGAAGAACAUCAAGCAACUGAAGCAGUACUUGAAUCAAAAGGUGGUCGAGAAGUAUGAUGAUGAGACCCUUGCCUGGAUGUUAUUUGUUGACGGGUGUGCAGUGUUGCAAUCCAUACACUCUGCAUUUAAACCAGGGCUUAUCAAAAAGUUGAAGAUAAAAAAUGAUCAGAUGGCUAUAUGACAAAGUUUAAGGCCCAUAAACUUUGGGUUGCAUGUGUACUGCUAGUAUUGCCCAUGUUGGUUGAGAAAGAGGACAACCGCAUUGAUUGUCAAGAAUAUUAUUGCUCAAAUGGUGGUUUACUUUCGAGAUGAUUAUUUGCUUUGCUUUGGUGAUCCACAAAGAAUACCAAGCGUUUAGUGAACGUGGAAGCACUUGUGCAGAAGUGGGAAGAAGCAACUCUGGUUUCAUCAUAUUUUCCAAAACCUGUCAGAUCCAUUCAACAUAUAUAGCAUUUCCAAGUUUAGCAUUUGCAGCCCAAGUGGUCUGCCGGCCCUUGUUGCUACUAUUUCUUUGGAAUCUCAGGAGAAAAGAGGGAUUCUUAAACUUGGGGCAUCAAUCUUCCAGAUUAGGUGGAAGAAGGACUAUGAUUAUCCGUAGGUAGAUUUGGAGUUAGAGCUUCGACUUGUUUGACAUGGACGAAUGACAUGUACGUGUAAAAGGGCUAAAUCUUAAGACCACCACACUAGUGGCACUGUCAUCCAUCUCUCUCUCUCUCUCUCUCUCUCUCUCUCUCUCUCUCUCUCUCUCUCUCUCUCUCUCUCUCUCUCUCUCUCUCUCUCUCUCUCUCUCUCUCUCUCUCUCUCUCUCUCUCUCUCUCUCUCUCUCUCUCUCUCUCUCUCUGUGGUUAUUUAUAAGGUUGAACAAUUUGGAUCUAGCUGUCAAUUUUCCCUUCAGCACCUUCUAUAGCUGAAAAAUCUGCAGUCUGAUUAGUUUCAAUAUAUCCGAAGAUCUUGGUGGGUAAAACUUGACACCAUGCCCAUCUAUACCAAGAAAUUAGAUUAGCC